GCCAGGCAUGGUGGCGGGUGCCUGUAAUCCCAGCUACUCAGGAGGCUGAGGCAGGAGAAUCGCUUGAACCCAGGAGAUGAAGGUUGAAGUGAGCUGAGAUCACACCACUGCACUCCAGCCUGGGCAACAAAGUGAGACUCUGCCUCAA
rnacentral:SRP_RNA from 1 species